AGACUACCCUGGCACCGGGUUCAAGGUGAUCAGGAAUGCUUUGACUCCGGGGUUACCAUUACACCUCGGUGGGUUGAAACUCGUGACGGACCCUAAUUGGGUGUGCUCGGGCGUGUAGUUUUUGUCUAUGGGGAGGUUUCAAAGUCUUCUUUU
rnacentral:snRNA from 11 species